CCUACGGGUGGCAGCAGUGGGGAAUAUUGGACAAUGGGGGGAACCCUGAUCCAGCGACGCCGCGUGAGUGAAGAAGUAUUUCGGUAUGUAAAGCUCUAUCAGCAGGGAAGAAAGAAAUGACGGUACCUGACUAAGAAGCCCCGGCUAACUACGUGCCAGCAGCCGCGGGAAUACGUAGGGGGCAAGCGUUAUCCGGAUUUACGGGGUGUAAAGGGAGCGUAGACGGCGAUGCAAGUCUGAAGUGAAAGGCGGGGGCCCAACCCCCGGACUGCUGUGGAAACUGUAUGGCUGGAGUGGAGGAGAGGUAAGUGGAAUUCCUAGUGUAGCGGUGAAAUGCGUAGAUAUUAGGAGGAACACCAGUGGCGAAGGCGGCUUACUGGACUGUAACUGACGUUGAGGCUCGAAAGCGUGGGGAGCAAACAGGAUUAGAUACCCCUGUAGUC
rnacentral:rRNA from 1 species